rnacentral:rRNA from 1 species
AAGGCCUUCGGGUUGUAAACUACUUUCACCGGGGAGGAAGUGAGUACCGCGUGUAGGAAGAAGGCCUUCGGGUUGUAAACUACUUUCACCGGGGAGGAAGUGAGUAAAGUUAAUACCUUUGCUCAAUGACGUUACCCGCAGAAUAAGCACCGGCUAACUCCGUG